rnacentral:rRNA from 1 species
CCUACGGGAGGCAGCAGUGGGGAAUAUUGGACAAUGGGCGAAAGCCUGAUCCAGCAAUGCCGCGUGAGUGAUGAAGGCCUUAGGGUUGUAAAGCUCUUUUACCCGGGAUGAUAAUGACAGUACCGGGAGAAUAAGCUCCGGCUAACUCCGUGCCAGCAGCCGCGGUAAUACGGAGGGAGCUAGCGUUAUUCGGAAUUACUGGGCGUAAAGCGCACGUAGGCGGCUUUGUAAGUAAGAGGUGAAAGCCUGGUGCUCAACACCAGAACUGCCUUUUAGACUGCAUCGCUUGAAUCCAGGAGAGGUGAGUGGAAUUCCGAGUGUAGAGGUGAAAUUCGUAGAUAUUCGGAAGAACACCAGUGGCGAAGGCGGCUCACUGGACUGGUAUUGACGCUGAGGUGCGAAAGCGUGGGGAGCGAACAGGAUUAGAUACCCUGGUAGUCCACGCCGUAAACGAUGAUAACUAGCUGUCGGGGCUCUUAGAGCUUCGGUGGCGCAGCUAACGCAUUAAGUAUCCGCCUGGGGAGUCGGCCGCAAGGUUAAAACCUCAAAUGAAAUUGAGGCGUUGAGAGNGCGACGGACGACGACGAGGGAGAGG